UACAGAGGAGCCAAGCGUUGUCCGGAUUGACUGGGCGUAAAGCGCACGCAGGCGGAUGCGCGCGUGGGGUGUGAAAUCUGGCCGCUUAACGGCCAGGCGCCAUCCCAUACGGCGCGUCUGGAGUGAUGCAGAGGUCGGUGGAAUUGCCGGUGUAGUGGUGAAAUGCGUAGAGAUCAGCAGGAACACCAAGGACGAAGGUACCUACCUGGGCAGUAUCUGACACUCAAGUGCGACAGCGUGGGGAGCGAACCGGG
rnacentral:rRNA from 1 species